UGGGGAAUCUUGCGCAAUGGGCGAAAGCCUGACGCAGCAACGCCGCGUGUGUGAUGAAGGUCUUCGGAUCGUAAAGCACUGUCGGGAGGGACGAAUAAGGGCCGGGUGAACAAUCCGGUCUGACGACGGUACCUCCAGAGGAAGCACCGGCUAACUCUGUGCCAGCAGCCGCGGUAAUACAGAGGGUGCUAGCGUUGUUCGGAAUUAUUGGGCGUAAAGCGCGUGUAGGCGGCUGGCCAAGUCGGAUGUGAAAGCCCUCGGCUUAACCGAGGAAGUGCGUUCGAUACUAGCUAGCUCGAGUACCGGAGAGGGUGGUGGAAUUCCCGGUGUAGAGGUGAAAUUCGUAGAUAUCGGGAGGAACACCAGCGGCGAAGGCGACCACCUGGACGGAUACUGACGCUGAGACGCGAAAGCGUGGGGAGCAAACAGG
rnacentral:rRNA from 1 species